rnacentral:rRNA from 1 species
AGGACCGCCGUAAUGAUUAAUAGGGACAGUCGGGGGCAUCAGUAUUCAAUUGUCAGAGGUGAAAUUCUUGGAUUUAUUGAAGACUAACUACUGCGAAAGCAUUUGCCAAGGAUGUUUUCAUUAAUCAGGAACGAAAGUUAGGGGAUCGAAGACGAUCAGAUACCGUCGUAGUCUUAACCAUAAACUAUGCCGACUAGGGAUCGGACGAUGUUAUUUUUUGACUCGUUCGGCACCUUACGAGAAAUCAGAGUGCUUGGGCUCCAGGGGGAGUAUGGUCGCAAGGCUGAAACUUAAGGAAAUUGACGGAAGGGCACCACCAGGGGUGGAGCCUGCGGCUUAAUUUGACUCAACACGGGGAAACUCACCAGGUCCAGACACAAUGAGGAUUGACAGAUUGAGAGCUCUUUCUUGAUUUUGUGGGUAGUGGUGCAUGGCCGUUCUUAGUUGGUGGAGUGAUUUGUCUGCUUAAUUGCGAUAACGAACGAGACCUUAACCUGCUAAAUAGCCCGUAUUGCUUUGGCAGUACGCCGGCUUCUUAGAGGGACUAUCGGCUCAAGCCGAUGGGAGUUUGAGGCAAUAACAGGUCUGUGAUGCCCUUAGAUGUUCUGGGCCGCACGCGCGCUACACUGACGGAGCCAGCGAGUACUCCCUUGGCCGGAAGGCCCGGGUAAUCUGAAUUGC